rnacentral:rRNA from 1 species
UGGGGAAUAUUGCACAAUGGGCGAAAGCCUGACCCAGCAACGCCGCGUGAGGGAUGAAGUAUUUCGGUAUGUAAACCUCGGAAGAAUGGGAAGAAUAAAUGACGGUACCAUUUAUAAGCUCCGGCUAACUACGUGCCAGCAGCCGCGGUAAUACGUAGGGAGCAAGCGUUGUUCGGAUUUACUGGGCGUAAAGGGCGCGUAGGCGGCGCGGUAAGUCACUUGUGAAAUCUCUGAGCUUAACUCAGAACGGCCAAGUGAUACUGCUGUGCUAGAGUGCGGAAGAGGCAACCGGAAUUCUUGGUGUAGCGGUGAAAUGCGUAGAUAUCAAGAGGAACACCUGAGGCGAAGGCGGGUUGCUGGGCCGACACUGACGCUGAUGCGCGAAAGCCAGGGGAGCAAACG